AUUGACCGCUGGCGGCAGGCCUAACACAUGCAAGUCGAACGAGUGGCGGACGGGUGAGUAAUGUCUGGGCAACUGCCCGAUGGCGGGGGAUAACUACUGGAAACGGUAGCUAAUACCGCCUACCAUCGGAUGUGCCCAGAUGGGAUUAGCUAGUGGGUGGGGUAAAGGCUCACCUAGGCCACGAUCCCUCGCUGGUCUGAAAGGAUGACCAGCCACACUGGAACUGAGACACGGUCCAGACUCCUACGGGAGGCAGCAGUGGGGAAGAUUGCACAAUGGGCGCAAGCCUAAUGCAGCCAUGCCGCGUGUAUGAAGAAGGCCUUCGGGUUGUAAAGUACUUUCAGCGAGGAGGCGUUACUCGCAGAAGAAGCACCGGCUAACUCCGUGCCAGCAGCCGCGGUAAUAC
rnacentral:rRNA from 1 species